UAGCUAGUUGGUGAGGUAACGGCCCACCAAGGCGACGAUCGGUAGCCGGACUGAGAGGUUGAACGGCCACAUUGGGACUGAGACACGGCCCAGACUCCUACGGGAGGCAGCAGUGGGGAAUAUUGCACAAUGGGGGGAACCCUGAUGCAGCGACGCCGCGUGGAGGAAGAAGGUCUUCGGAUUGUAAACUCCUGUUGUUGGGGAAGAUAAUGACGGUACCCAACAAGGAAGUGACGGCUAACUACGUGCCAGCAGCCGCGGUAAAACGUAGGUCACAAGCGUUGUCCGGAAUUACUGGGUGUAAAGGGAGCGCAGGCGGGAAGACAAGUUGGAAGUGAAAUCUAUGGGCUCAACCCAUAAACUGCUUUCAAAACUGUUUUUCUUGAGUAGUGCAGAGGUAGGCGGAAUUCCCGGUGUAGCGGUGGAAUGCGUAGAUAUCGGGAGGAACACCAGUGGCGAAGGCGGCCUACUGGGCACCAACUGACGCUGAGGCUCGAAAGUGUGGGUAGCAAACAGGAUUAGAUACCCUGGUAGUCCACACCGUAAACGAUGAUUACUAGGUGUUGGAGGAUUGACCCCUUCAGUGCCGCAGUUAACACAAUAAGUAAUCCACCUGGGGAGUACGACCGCAAGGUUGAAACUCAAAGGAAUUGACGGGGGCCCGCACAAGCAGUGGAGUAUGUGAUUUAAUUCGACGCAACGCGAAGAACCUUACCAAGUCUUGACAUCCCUUGACAGGCAUAGAAAUAUGUUUUCUCUUCGGAGCAAGGAGACAGGUGGUGCAUGGUUGUCGUCAGCUCGUGUCGUGAGAUGUUGGGUUAAGUCCCGCAACGAGCGCAACCCUUAUGGUCAGUUACUACGCAAGAGGACUCUGGCCAGACUGCCGUUGACAAAACGGAGGAAGGUGGGGAUGACGUCAAAUCAUCAUGCCCUUUAUGACUUGGGCUACACACGUACUACAAUGGCGUUAAACAAAGAGAAGCGAGACCGCGAGGUGGAGCAAAACUCAGAAACAACGUCCCAGUUCGGACUGCAGGCUGCAACUCGCCUGCACGAAGUCGGAAUUGCUAGUAAUCGUGGAUCAGCAUGCCACGGUGAAUACGUUCCCGGGCCUUGUACACACCGCCCGUCACACCAUGAGAGCCGGGGGGACCCGAAGUCGGUAGUCUAACCGCAAGGAGGACGCCGCCGAAGGUAAAACUGGUGAUUGGGGUGAAGUCGAAACAAGGUAGCCGUAGGAGAACCUGCGGCUG
rnacentral:rRNA from 1 species